rnacentral:tRNA from 1 species
GGGCCGUUAGCUCAGUGGUUAGAGCAGGGGACUCAUAAUCCCUUGGCAAGUCUCAGGGCCUA